GGGUGCGAUCAUAGCAGCACUAAUGCACUGGAUCCCAUCAGAACUCUGGGGCAAAGCGUGCUUGGCAAGAGUAGUUCUAGGAUGGGUGCCUCCCGGGAAGUCCUCGUGUUGCACCCC
rnacentral:rRNA from 1 species